CAGAGUCCGUGCGGGAGGCGCGGGCGGCUCGGCGGUGAGCGGCCGCUGCGGGGAGCGCGUGCGUCAGUUAGGCAGGGGGCGUCAGUCGGUCGGUCUGUCGGGCGGAGGGUGUCAGUCAGCCGGCAGGAAAGCAUCAGUUGGGCACAGGGCAUCAGCCAGCCGGGAGGAGGGCGUCCGUCAGGCGGAGGGCGUGAGGCGGAGCAUUGGGUCUGUGCGGGCUCCGGCCGCUUUGGCUGCGGGAGGCUGAACCACUGAGAAAACAGAGGUGAACAUGGAGUCAGGCGAACGAAGCUGUGCCGUGCUUGUGCUGGGGUGCGUGAGCUUGAUGUCAGUGGCUGCUCUCAUGGUUUAAUUGCAGGCGAUGAAGCACAUGGAGAGGGUGCAAAUAUUUUCCUAGCCAAGUGCUCUAGUCAUUAGCGAAGCAGUCAGGCUGAAGCGCUGGUUUUGCAUAAUCUAACCAGGCAGAACCGAUGUCUGAAAGCAAAACUCAGUGUCUCGUUACGCUGCACUUCUGUUGGAGGAAUCCAUCUUAGCAUUACCACAGGAAGGAAAAAAAAAAAAGUGAUUUCUAAUCAAUUGCUCAAUUUAACAUUGUUCACACAGAAUUCACUUAAUUGUGGCCAGAACCGUUGCUGUGCUGAAGGCUCCUCAGACCUCGUGUGGCCCUGUAGUGGGUGCAGCAAAGUUCUCCAUGUGUCUUAAUGGGGAGCAGGUCACCUCCUCUAUGCGGCACCUCACUAAAGGAGACAGUGCUUCUGUAGGUUUGGGUGCUCAUUUGCAUCUCAUUUGCAUAGGGAGUCUUAAAUGCCAUGCAGUCAUCACACUGCAUCAUUCGGAAGUAAAGAUUGUCCUUAUCCUUGCUUUAUAUACCAUAUGCUGAAGGGUUAAAGGAAUGAAUCAAGAUCAUGUAGAGGUGAAAGGAGUUAUCCAGAGUUACAGAGGAUUUUGUGUCCAAAAGUGGUCCUAGGCUUUUUAAAUCACUGAACUAUCUUCCUGUCAGUAACCGAGCUUGCUGAAGUCUGACCAAAAGCUGGAGCUGGGACUGCUGGCGGUAUUGAUAAACGUGAAACUUGCACAGCUGAAAACAAUACCUUUGAAGCUUGUCCAAAUUGUAGCUCCUUUCUGCCUCCUCUUAUAAACAGAGGAACAAAAAGGGAAGGGUAGAAGUGAGCAGGAGAGACCUAUGUGGACUGGAGAAAGGUAUUGUAGAAGAAAACGAUGACAGAAGCGAUGUUUUUGUCAAAGGUAGAGAUGGAGGGAGUCUGAGAAGAGACACUGAAGGUAGGAGGGUAAAGGAGAACAAAAGCCCCUAAUACAAAAACCAUGCAAGAAUAAUUUCCUGUGCUUUCUCCCAAAUCCUAAUACCAGUUGCAGCAUUUAUGACAAUAGACUGGUGUGAGUAAUUUAUGCCUCAAAAAGUCCUGUGGCCACACUGCUAACAUCUCCUACGCAACCAAGAGCAUCCACGGUUAUGUUUCAGUUGUUGUUAUGCCUUGGACAUACCAGGACGGACACACAGUUCUCCUUAUCUUAACUAAAGCAGCUAAUGCUCUUUCCAGGUGUAAGCAAACCUGAGCAGAAGCAGGCAAGAAAUGCCUUGGCAGGGGUUUGCUGUGUCAAGUACUGUUUAUUGCAAAGUGGAAAGCCCUUGCCUGCCUGUGCCCUUCCUAUUUUUUCCAGUGGCAUCCUCAGCUAAUGAGCAGUUCUGCGGUUGUGCUGAGCUUGAGUGAGCUGAGAGAUGGGGUGAACAACCCACUUCUAAAUGAAAGCAGGAGCGGCUGCCCUGCUUGUUACAGCAGUCCUGAUGCAAGAGAAUUUAAUCUUUCACACCUCUGGAAGAGGUAUGCCUCUGAGUUGGAAGGAGGAGACAAAUCCAGCUAAAUCCUGCACAUCUCCAGCUUUUGAGUGCAUGCAGAAUAAACCAUCCUUUAUUGGACUCCACAUCACAAACUUGAGUCUCAAAGUGGAAAAAUGCGGUUUUCUUACAACCUGAAACAACCAAACUUCCAACCUGUACCUGGGGCAUUGAUCAGUGUUCACAGGAGGAGCUGCUGACCCACGCUGAAGCAUCCCGAGGGAAUCAUACGAUGACUCCAGCUGACGCUGCUUCUCUGAAAGCAACAUUGCCCAUACAAACCUCUUCUAAGGUACUCCAGUACAGUUCUUCUCUGCCACCACUUCAGCCAAUUGUAAGGAGUAAGGAGGCACCAAAGGCUAGUUAAACACAGCAAACGUACUUCGUGUCUAGAACUGACAACUAGCACAAAUCAGCUUUGAUAAGGUUUUGUUAGCUAUCAUGAAAAUCAAAUAUGUAUGAUUUUCUUCAGAGUAACAAUAUGCAUGUGCCACAGAUAAUUGCACGUAUAGUCUGUGUUAAUAAAACAAGAAAUGUAAUACUCUCAUCACUGUUUUGAGGAUUGCUGUAUUAGGGACUAUUAUCUCGAGGCACAUCUAUGAUGGUCAUGGUUGGCUGAACAACUUUCUUACUCUUGUCAAGUCUGAGAACUUUUAUACGUAGAUACGAAUGAUUUUUGUUCCAAGGAAAAUAAUAGAAAAAUCUUCAAAUAACUUCUUUUUAAAUUUUUGGCCUUCUUCCUCUCCAAGUUCUGUUUUUUUUCCACCUCCUAAAUGAUGUCAAAUUCACUUUGCAGGAAUGUUGAAAUGCUUUAAUAAUAGAUAGGAAGUGUUCUGAGAACCUUGGCUGGAGGACGCUCUGUAAAUAUAAAAUGUUAUGGUUAAUAAUGCAGACCUAAGUUAUGACAUGAAUUACAAGGGUGCCAUGAGGCAAUCCCAGAGCUUUCCAAGCAAGCUCCAUGGUAAAAUACGCCUGAAAAUCACUUUUGUGCUCUUGGUAGAAAAUCUUGUCUUCAUUGGGCACUGGCACAAAGUUUAUACUCCGCAGGGCAAGUUCGUUACAAAACUGAGCGAUGUUUAAACUAGAAGUUUGAGAAGAGACGACUACCAGAAUAGGUCGUGAUCAGCAUCAGGUUAGUUGGUGACAGACGCCUUAACUUUAGGCAAGAACUGAUUUAGGGGUGCGGGUGCCAGCAUGAAACAAAUUAAUUCUGUGCACUGUCAGAUAUUUACUAUGUGACCUUGAGGAAGUAAUUUAAUUUUACUGUUUCUUGAGUUCUUCAUCUGAAAAGAAAAAAAAAAGAGUAGCAUUGCAUUCUCCCUUCCUCCCAAGGGUGUUAUGAGGCUAACCACAUUAAUUAGUUGCCUGCUUAGAGGUGAGUGUAAUAGUAUGGAGUAGCUAGAACAUAGCUCUUCCUUAUCUCUGCUGACCAGUUCUGGUCAGUAUCAUGUCAACUAAAUUGAUUUUUGCAGAAGGUGAUUAAACACAAUUAAAUGUCCAUGUUAAAACCAAAGCUAAGAUUAGCUUUAUUGAACUGACAUCAAAGUGGUGAUAGAUUCAGAGCUCCUUUUAUUAAAAAAGUGUUAAUGGGAUCCACACAGAGCUGACAGAACGAUUUCCUUAACCACAAACCCACUGUUAUCUAUAAAGCUAAAAGAUGAAAUUAGAGUUCUGUUUUUAAACUACAGAGCAGUCUUUUUUUUUUUUUAAAGUGUUAAUGAUCCCUGUCUUUAGCUAACUUGUUAGCGUUCCUUUGGCAGCUUUACCACUUUCUGCUGUUCAGCUUAAGGUUUUUAUUUUCUUGUUGCAGUAUGUAAAGAAUUUUUGGACAGAUUUUACAAUUCACUUAAAAGACAUUCAGAUUUUGCUGUGGACACCAUAGCUGGUCAGCAGCUGCGGGGAUGCAAAAGGAAAGAGCAGCAUCUGGAACCAUUCUCCUUUGUUUCAAGUUCUGAGAAAGUCCUAGUUAAAUGACAGAAUUUCUGUUCGAUAAAAAUCACUGUCCAUCUGCACUCAUGGGCAUUCAUUCAAAUCCAGUAAUGACAAUAAUAAUUAUAAUUGUGAGGAACAGAGGACAAUCCUGUGGCCUGUGUGAAGCAAAUUUGGAGGAUCUGUGUUUAAUUUUCAGCCUAUAUGGCUGCAUGUUGUUGGACGGCCAUUGGAAUAAGCGGGACUCUUUCCAGCAGUUUCCCUGGUCAUUGGCUGGGGCCCUAAACGGCCUAUUACAACUGGG